UACUUUCCACGGAGCGAUCGAUUUAUAAUCGACCGUUCCACGAUGGUGAGUCUUUCUGGCGUGGCCGAUACUUCACAUCCGACUAAUCGACCUACGCUUUGCUUUUUUCCUUUCUGUCGCCAAUCUCGAGAGCGCCGUAUCGCGUAGAAAAUUUAACUUGAAAUUCAAACUUGCAUUCAAAUGUUACGUAUC